GAUGAACGCUAGCUACAGGCUUAACACAUGCAAGUCGAGGGGAAACGACAUCGAAAGCUUGCUUUUGAUGGGCGUCGACCGGCGCACGGGUGAGUAACGCGUAUCCAACCUGCCCACCACUUGGGGAUAACCUUUCGAAAGUAAGACUAAUACCCAAUGAUAUCUCUAGAAGACAUCUGAAAGGGAUUAAAGAUUUAUCGGUGAUGGAUGGGAAUGCGUCUGAUUAGCUUGUUGGCGGGGUAACGGCCCACCAAGGCGACGAUCAGUAGGGGUUCUGAGAGGAAGGUCCCCCACAUUGGAACUGAGACACGGUCCAAACUCCUACGGGAGGCAGCAGUGAGGAAUAUUGGUCAAUGGGCGAGAGCCUGAACCAGCCAAGUAGCGUGCAGGAUGACGGCCCUAUGGGUUGUAAACUGCUUUUAUAAGGGAAUAAAGUGGGAGUCGUGACUCUUUUUGCAUGUACCUUAUGAAUAAGGACCGGCUAAUUCCGUGCCAGCCGCCGCCGUAA
rnacentral:rRNA from 1 species